rnacentral:tRNA from 3 species
GUCGUAGAAGGCAAAUGGUUAGCCACCUGACCUUCAAUCAGUUGCUCGCGGGUUCGAAUCCCGUCUACGACUCCA